rnacentral:rRNA from 1 species
AGAGUUUGAUCCUGGCUCAGAAUCAACGCUGGCGGCGUGCCUAACACAUGCAAGUCGAACGAGAAAGUUCUCUUCGGAGAGCGAGUAAAGUGGCAAACGGGUGAGUAACGCGUGGGAUAUCUACCCUGAUGAGUGGAAUAACUCUCCGAAAGGAGAGCUAAUACCACAUAAUCCGGUAACGGGAAAGGCCUUCGGGUCGCAUUAGGAGGAGCCCGCGUCCGAUUAGCUAGUUGGUGAGGUAAUGGCUCACCAAGGCUGCGAUCGGUAGCCGGUCUGAGAGGACGGACGGCCACACUGGGACUGAGACACGGCCCAGACUCCUACGGGAGGCAGCAGUGGGGAAUUUUGGGCAAUGGGCGAAAGCCUGACCCAGCAACGCCGCGUGGAGGAUGAAGGUUUUCGGAUCGUAAACUCCUGUCCCAUGAGACGAAAAAAAUGACGGUAUCAUGGGAGGAAGCCCCGGCUAACUCCGUGCCAGCAGCCGCGGUAAUACGGGGGGGGCAAGCGUUGUUCGGAAUUACUGGGCGUAAAGGGCGCGUAGGCGGUUUCGGAAGUCAAGGGUGAAAGCCCCGAGCUCAACUCGGGAACUGCCUUUGAAACCACGGAACUAGAGUGUUGGAGAGGAAAGCGGAAUUUCCAGUGUAGCGGUGAAAUGCGUAGAUAUUGGAAGGAACAUCUGAGGCGAAGGCGGCUUUCUGGACAGACACUGACGCUGAGGCGCGAAAGCUAGGGGAGCGAACGGGAUUAGAUACCCCGGUAGUCCUAGCUGUAAAACGAUGAACACUUGGUGUGGGGGGUAUAAAGUCCCUCCGUGCCGUAGAUAACUCGAUAAGUGUUCCGCCUGGGGAGUACGGCCGCAAGGCUGAAACUCAAAGGAAUUGACGGGGGCCCGCACAAGCGGUGGAGCAUGUGGUUUAAUUCGACGCAACGCGAAGAACCUUACCGGGGUUUGAACUGUACCGGCAACAUCCAGAGAUGGAUGGUUUCCCUCGGGAACUGGUAUAGAGGUGCUGCAUGGCUGUCGUCAGCUCGUGUCGUGAGAUGUUGGGUUAAGUCCCGCAACGAGCGCAACCCUUGUCUGUAGUUGCCAUCAGGUUAAGCUGGGCACUCUACGGAGACUGUCGGCGAUAAGCCGGAGGAAGGUGGGGAUGACGUCAAGUCCUCAUGGCCUUUAUGUCCCGGGCUACACACGUGCUACAAUGGGUGGAACAGAGGGCAGCGAGCCUGCGAAGGCAAGCGAAUCCCAAAAAUCCAUUCUCAGUUCGGAUUGCAGUCUGCAACUCGACUGCAUGAAGUUGGAAUCGCUAGUAAUCGCGGAUCAGAACGCCGCGGUGAAUACGUUCCCGGGCCUUGUACACACCGCCCGUCACAUCACGAAAGUGGGCUGUACUAGAAGCCGCCGGCCUAACCUCUUCGGAGGAGGGAGGCGUCGACGGUAUGGUUCAUGAUUGGGGUGAAGUCGAAACAAGGUA